GCACCCGUAGCUCAGUGGGAGAGCAUUCCGUUGACAUCGGAAAGGUCACAAGUUCAAUCCUUGUCGGGUGCA
rnacentral:tRNA from 2 species